UGGGGAAUCUUCCGCAAUGGGCGAAAGCCUGACGGAGCAAUGCCGCGUGAGUGAAGAAGGCCUUCGGGUUGUAAAACUCUGUCCUAGACGAAGAGAGAGUGUUGUAGUAACUGACAAUACUAGGACGGUAGACUAGGAGGAAGCCCCGGCUAACUAUGUGCCAGCAGCCGCGGUAAAACAUAGGGGGCAAGCGUUGUCCGGAAUCACUGGGCGUAAAGGGCGCGCAGGCGGUAAAUUAAGUCAGGUGUGAAAGUUCGGGGCUCAACCCCGUGAUUGCACCUGAUACUGAUAAACUAGAGUGUUGGAGAGGUAAGUGGAAUUCCUAGUGUAGCGGUGGAAUGCGUAGAUAUUAGGAGGAACACCAGUGGCGAAGGCGACUUACUGGCCAAUAACUGACGCUGAGGCGCGAAAGCGUGGGGAGCAAACAGGAUUAGAUACCCUGGUAGUCCACGCCGUAAACGAUGAGUACUAGGUGUUGGUUGUUUCGAAACAAUCGGUGCCGGAGUAAACACAAUAAGUACUCCGCCUGGGGAGUACGGUCGCAAGACUG
rnacentral:rRNA from 1 species